UCUUUACCGCUCGGUUCGCUCGGUGACGUCUCUCACCGGUAAAAUCCACCGACGAGUCGUCGGGACUGACCGCUUCUCCUCUCUCUGCUUCGCCGUAUCUCAGAACGGCAUCACAGCAUCACGGAGCCCGACUCUCUGCCUCUCCUGCCCGGCCUGACGUGCCGCGACGAGCCGCUGACAGCAAGGACACGGAGCGGGACCCGCUUCUCCUCAGCAUGAUGGAUGUAACUCCGGUACCGACUCACGGACAAGGAGCCCGGUGGACUCGGCGGAGGGGCAGCGGGGACUUGUGAACAUCCUCCCGGUGUGAGGAUCUGUCGCACCGACUUGUUUUCUCCUGAAUUUGAAUCUUUUUCCUACAAUGUCACCAUCAAGGAGACGCGGCUGAGGCACCGGCUCUUCCUCUCGGGUCUCCGCUGACCGUCAUCCUCCUCAGCUGGUCUCUGACGGUUUUAGCUAACGUUAGCUCCGGUAUGAGCAGAACCGGACCUCCCUGUCACAUCUGACCGGGGAUCGGGGGGUGGUGGCGGGGUGCCGGCGGGGACACAGUUGGAUUUGUGGAUGAGAACCGGUCACCGGGCCGGAUUCCGUGCGGAGGGACGCCGGCCGGAGCGGAGGUGGAGGAGGGAGGAGCAGCAGCGGCAGCAGCAGCUGCGGGGAACCGAUCUGACAACCUCAUCCCCGGGGGGAGAGACGCAGCGAGGCGGCCAGAGGAGGAUGUGAAGAUGGGUUUAGUUUUCGGUCUCCUGUGGCUGUUUACCGGCUUCCUGCAGGGCGUGCACGGCCAGGGCGUGUACGCGCCCCCUACAGUGCGCAUCGUGCACUCAGGUCAGGCCUGUAACGUGGAGGAGGAACGCUACAGUGAGCGAGUUUACACCAUCAGAGAGGGAGAGACGCUGGAGCUGCAGUGUCUGGUGACGGGACACCCACGACCACAGAUUCGCUGGACGAAGACGGCGGGCGGAGCUUCUGACCGUCAGGGCGACUCAUCGCUGCACAACGACACUCUGAAGAUCGCAAACAUCAGCCGCCACCAGGGGGGGCGCUACUACUGCAAGGCUGAGAACGGACUGGGAUCCCCCGCCAUCCGGUCCAUACGAGUCGACGUCUACUACCUGGACGACCCUGUGAUCACGGUGCACCAGAGUGUCGGUGAAUCGAAGGAGCAGUUCUACUUUGAGAGGACGGUGUUUCUCCGCUGUGUCGCUAACUCUAACCCACCUGUCCACUACACCUGGAGGAGGGGCAGGGAGGCGCUGACGCAGGGAUCCGACUCCGGGGUGGAGAUCUAUGAACCCUUUUUCACACAGGGUGAGACGAAGAUCUUGAAGCUGAAGAACCUUCGUCCUCAGGAUUACGCCAGCUAUACCUGCAUCGCCUCCGUCAGGAACGUUUGCGGCAUCGGAGACAAGAGCGCCCACUUUGGUCUCAACAACAGAACAGCUCCUCCUGCCAUUAAGCUCCUCCUGGACGACCCCCUGGUGGUGAACCCGGGGGAGACAAUCACUCUGGUGUGCGUGGCUUCGGGCGGAGAUCCUCCUCCCUCCCUGAUGUGGAUGAGGCCAGGAGGGGAGGAGCUCCCGAAGAGAAGUGUCGUCAACGCCGGCACGCUGACCAUCCCCACUGUCACUGUAGAUGACGGUGGCGCCUACAGCUGCGUGGCAUCCAACAACGUGGGGAACCCCGCCAAGAAAUCCACCACCAUACUGGUCAGAGGUCUUCGUAAAGGUCGUUUCUGGAUCACGCCCGACCCGUACCACAACGACGACAACAUCCAGAUCGGCCGGGAGGUGAAGAUCAGCUGCCAGGUGGAGGCCACGCCGCCCGAGGAGCUGCAGUUCAGCUGGCUGAAGAACGGCCGGCCGCUGAGGAGUUCUGAGCGGAUGGUCAUCACCCACACAGACACCGACGUCACGCCAGGGACCACCAACCUCGACAUCAUCGACCUCAAGUUCACCGACUUCGGCACCUACACCUGUGUGGCGUCACUGAGGAACGGAGGAACCCCCGAGAUCAGCAUCGACGUCAACAUCUCAUCCACCACAGUUCCUCCGGAGCUGACCGUCCCCAGAGGGCGUUCUCACCUCAUCGCUCAGGAGGGCGACACCGUGGACCUGCAGUGUCUGGUCUCAGGGAAACCCAAGCCCAUCAUCCUGUGGUCCCGGGUGGAGGAGCCUGGGGCAGCGGCCGCAGCGGUGGCGGCGGUGAUUCUGAUGCCAGACGGCUCGGAGCAGACGGAGAGCUACGAUGGCGUCCUGAGGAUCACCAACGUGACGAGAGAGAUGAGCGGGACGUACUGCUGCCGGACGAGCCAGUACAACGGCUUCAACGUGAAACCCAGAGAGGCUCUGAUACAGCUGGUGGUGCAGUUCCCCCCCGUCGUGGAGCCGGUGUACACAGAGAUCCGUCAGGCUCUCGGCCGGGCGUUCAGCCUCACCUGCCGCCUGCUGCGAGCUCACCCGGCGCGCCUCCUGCGGUACGAGUGGAAGCUCGGCUCCCGCCUCCUCACGGUCGGACAGUUCAGCGACCAGCGUGAUGACACCAGCUACCUGGUUAGAGCUUUGAACAGGGAGGGCUACGGCGAGUACACCUGUGACAUCACCAAUGAGGCCGGGGCGGGGCGCUGCACCUUCCUGGUUACAGGGAAGGCCUAUGCUCCGGAGUUUUAUUACGACACCUACAGCGCUCUGUGGCAGAACAGACCUCGAGUCUAUGGCUUCAAGCUGCAGUGGACACAGAUGGAGCCCAACGCCGUGGACCGAAUCCUGGCCUACAGACUCGGUAUCAGACAGAUGGGUCAGUCUCGCUGGUGGGAGCAGGAGAUUCCCAUGGAGGGAAACAUCCAGAAGGGGGAGCUGUUGACCUACAACCUAACCGAACUCAUCAAACCUGAGUCCUACCUGGUCCGCCUCACCCCCAUCACCCGCUACGGAGAGGGUGACGCAACUGAACGCAUCAUUACGUACAGCGCUCCUGUUAAUCCACAUCUCAGGGAGUUCCAGUGUGGCUUCGAGGACGAGGCGUUGUGUUUGUUCUCUCAAGACAAAACAGACGAGUUUGAUUGGACGCGUCACAGUGCCGCCACACGAGACACCAAAUAUACCCCGAACACCGGACCGAGCUCCGACCACACCGGCUCCAAGCAGGGUUUCUACAUGUACAUCGAGACGUCGAGGCCGAGGCUGGAGGGAGACAAGGCUCGGUUGCUGACUCCCACCUUCAACAUGAACUCCAAGACCUCCUCGUCCACGUCCGCCGUCACCAACAACCCCACCUACUGCUUCGCCUUCUACUACCACAUGUACGGCAAACACAUCGGAGCUCUGAACGUCUUUCUGCGUCAGAAAGGUCAGACGGUGACGGACACCUCUGUCUGGAGUCUGAGCGGUAACCAAGGGGACCGGUGGCGGCAAGCCAAGGUCAACAUCCACCCAACCGCAGCCUUCCAGAUGGUGAUGGAGGGGGUCCGAGGUGCCGGUAUCGAGGGAGAUAUCGCCAUUGAUGAUGUCACCAUUGAGGAGGGCGAAUGUAAAGAUCCUCCCCCCAACAAUCUAAGGUCGCUUGCCCCGCCCUCUUCGCCACAUAUAUGGCAGCUGUGCGUCACUCUGAGUCUGGCUCUGAUUGGCCAGCAGAGGUGACCCCCCCUCUCUACAGGACGUCACUACCUUUAACUCUUCUACAUCCCUCACCUCCCCAUCCAAUCCCAUCAUCCCCCUCCAUUAACCCCCCCCCAACUACCAAAGAUGUGGUCAGAGCUACAGAGGGACUUCCUGCCAAGAUGGCUGACACAGAAGGUCAAGAGAUCACCUGGAGAAAUCAACAGUACUGUACCGAGAGCUGGACGGACACGCCGCAGUCUCUCUGUAACUUUUUACAGCAGGCGGACCGACAGUUAAAAAAUACUUUUAGAUGUUAUUUUGACAUCUGUCUGCGGCGGACCGAGGAGGAGAGUUCACCCUCUGCCAUGACAUCAAGUGCCUUCAGACUCACAGAGGAAAAGAUCGCCAGGCCGAGGACUGCUGUCGUCAUGGCAACAAAAACAAAAAGAAAUCAAAGCGUCGGACAUCGUUAUGUCUUAAUGGUCAAGGAGAAAAUAACAAAAAUAUUUCCUGGUCUGAUUAUGCAGAGAAUUAGUUUCUUACUUUUUUGUUGUUGUUGUUUUUGAGAUGAAAAUGUUUAUGAUGACGAGGAUUCUGGGAAAAAGGAAGCCAUGUCGCAUGGCGUUAAGAAAAAGACACAACAGAGAUGCCAUGGACAGAAAGUAGACUCUGGAUGCAGACAGGAAGCUCCUUUGAUUAACAAUUUUAAGAACAAAAUGCAAUCAUGAUCUGAGGAUCUGUGACUGGAUUUUUCAAAACAAAAGACCUCCUGUUCGGACGACUUUCAGCCCUAAGCCAAUGGGAUUCAAGCAUUUGGUCUCCGAGAACUAUUUUAGUAUUUCAAAAUAAGAGUUUUCAGAAGGAGGCAGAGACUUUGACUCUACCUGAGAUCAUCAGUUACCUUAAAACACAACAACAGCUGGAGCUUUUGGAAAAAAAGGAAGAAAAAUGUAUUGUAAAAUCAAAUCUUAUAUUGUUCCUAUGAUAUUAUAACGAUGGUGGGAAAAUCUUUACACGUUUCAUCUCCUCUCAUCUCUUUUGUUGGUUUUAAAUGAGGGUGGGAUCUUUAGUUCAGGUUUAUUUAUUUUGUUUCUUUCUUUUGUGGAAAAACUCCAAGGGAAAAUUUAGAAGAAUAAAAAUCCAGGUGUAAUGUUUUUGUUUUAAGAUUUUAGGGAGUUGAUGUUUUGAGAUUUGAUAAACGUCCUGCUGAGAAAACAUUUCUACUUAAAACAAAACUUCACGCUGACGAUUCAUUAAAAAAAAAAGCACAAAAAGACAAAUGUUUUUAGUUAAACAGAGUCGACACACGAGAAAAACAUCUGUACACACAUGUACAGAAACAUAGAUUCAUCAGCUCUGCAUGUUUAUAUGGAAGCCCAUUUCUGCCAAGACAAGAAAAAAUGGAUAAAAGUUAAGAUGAUAGAAAUUUAAAUACUCAUUGUAAGCAGUCAUGUAUGAAAAAGUCAUACAUUUGACUCGCUUUCACAUAAUUUUGACUUCCUUUAAUAAUUUUGGGAAUCACCAAAGGCCCCCUGAUACGAUGUUAUCGCAAUGCGACGCUGCGAUACGAUAAAAUAAUAUUGUGAAUUUAGAUGUUUUGCAAUAUGCUGAGCAUUGUAAUAACAUCAGUUGCAAUACAUUGCAAUGUAUUACCUUUUUUCAAUUUUAAACUACUAUUACUCACGUAAUUCAUUUUUAUUGCAGCAACAUGUA